UUUCCGUAGGUGAACCUGCGGAAGGAUCAUUACAGUGCCCGGGGAAGGCUUAGGCCGACCCCAUAGGCCCCACACGUGUCUACCGACCCUGUUGCCUCGGCGCGCCCGCUAAGCUAUGGCCGCCGGGGAACCCACAAACAAAUCUUGAAGCGAAUGCAGCCUGAGUAAUUAAACAAAUUAAUUAAAACUUUCAACAACGGAUCUCUUGGUUCCG
rnacentral:misc_RNA from 1 species